AUGUUUGUGUGGGUGUGGAAGUGUAGGUGUGGCCUCCUCCACCUCUCAUUUGGCAGAGGUGGCCGGGCAGUUGGCCCCGCCCCCUUGUCACCCCUUGUACAAGACUGGCACGCAGGCUCUGAGUCCUGCCAGGACCUGUGGCAGCCCCAGCUGAAACAGACAGAAAAGAAUUUCUGGCACAGUUCCUUCCAGGGCAGGAGACCCUGGGAGGGUGGCCAGGAGGGUGCUUGGAAUAUGAGCAAGGCAGGCAGGUGGGGAAAGGGUAUUCCUAUCUUUCUCAUGAAACCAGCACGGAGAGGGGAAGCAUCUGCUCAGGGUCACACAGCAAGCAGUGGCAGAGCUGGACUAGAUUCUCAGAUGGACCGUAGCUCAUGGGGAUCUGCAUGGCCCUGUCGGCUGGAGGAUGACUCUCACUUUGCUGUACCAGCUUCCGAAGUCCUUUACCAGCACCUUGAAGGAGGUUCCCAGGCCCAGGGCAGAGGCUGGAUGGGUCAUCUGCCCAUCUCCUGUGGCAAGGGGCUAACUGCCAGUGCGACAUGUCCACUAUCAGCUGAGACCUGAGCAUCUACCUCCCAGGAGCCCAGCCCCUCCUUGGCCUGACCUCCACCCUUGGCCUCUGCUUCACCUGCCUUCUGUCACCAUGGAAACGCAGGCAAUGCCGCGGUGUCCUCUGGGAUUUGGAAGAGCAGCCCAUUUCCCUGGUUUUGGUGGGGGAGGGACAGGGGAUGGGAAGAGGGGAAGGGAAGUCCAGGGCUCCUUUGGGUGAAGAUUUAGAGUCUCUUGAAGAGGUCAUUAGCUCUUUAAUAAAUCACUAAUAAUUGCAUGAAUAUUUAAAUCUUAAUAAAAAAAUACAGUGGCCCAGC
rnacentral:lncRNA from 1 species